CUUUAAUUUAUCAAAGAUCAACAAUCCCGCACCUGUAGGAAGAGAUGCAGAAGUCUGAUUCAGAGUUCACCUCUCGUGUAGUUUGGUAGCAGCUUCACGCAAUGCGUGCGUUGCAAGCCACAUUGUUUCAUGCUCCGCUUUAAGCCAAAAGAUUCAAAAAUGUACUUUCUGGGAAAUAUAAUUCUGUUCUACAUGGUGUUUCCAAUGAGCACCGCCAACGAAACCCGGGACAUAUUGGUGACUGAAGGAGAUCAGGUUGUGCUGCCCUGUGGUGUUGAUGAUGGCUCCUUGAAGAGGUGACGUGGAGAAGAGUCGUGAUGUACGAUACACGGAUGGUGACACGGAGCAAAACGACUUCAGAGCGAUUAUAUGGACACCGGAGAAUGCGCUUUUGAAUAGUUGGGUUGUUAACGUGUGGAUGGGAAUUGCGCGUUGUCAAUCAUUUGCGAGGCCCAACACCAUUUCUCUCUGCUGAUACCUGUCUUACGUAUUGAGAAUCUGGGGUCAUUCCGCUGCCUAUACACUACGAAUAUUUCUAAAAUCAUGCAGAGACUAGAAUAUCAACUCAUCAUAAGAGAAAAAGGGACCGAACCAGUGGGAAAUGUCACCACGAAUCCAUCAAGAUGCAUCUCAGAGGUGGCCAGCUCAGGUCCUUCUGGCUGUGAGAACUCACACACAACUCAAGGCACUGAAUGUGACAACACAUUGAGGAAAUACAAGAUGCUAUUUUUCAUCUCUCUUGCAAUGAUGGCUGUUUUGAUAACAGUGUUGGUCGUGGUAAUCUUCAAACUGGUCAAGCAAAAAAAGGGAAUUCCCACACCGGUGCCAAGAGAGAACACCCAUCUCACACGAGGACAUACUACGGAUAUUGAAGUGGAUGGCCAUGUCCAUUAUGCUAGCUUGGAUCUGGACCAGAAGACCCGCAGAAAAAACUCUGCAGUAGUGAAGCAAGAAAAAACCAUCUACGCCUCUGUUCAGCUGGAAUAAUUGUAGCUUUCUUCGAUACAAAUGUGGAUGUCUUUACUGCAAAUAUUACUGACACAAAUAAUAUCUACGUUUUUAUUCGUAUAUGUUUUUUUACUAGUGGAAUAAAAACGUAUGCAGAACAUGUAUUUGUUGAAACAAAUGUUUUAUAAUGUUAAUAUUUUUGUGCAUUAAUUUUUAAACCAUUAAAUGUUAACGAGGCAGCCACGCAGACUAGCUUGGUUUAUGGGUCUGGUGUAGGGUCGCCACUUUUACCACAGACCAAAACUCAGAUAUAUUUUUCAGUCUAGGUCUACGAAUGCUGUGCAGUAUCCUUCCUAUAUCCUAGGCUGAUGCCAUGUCAGGGGCACUCAGCCAAAUGGUAUUUGGUCAGCAUCACCGACUUGGCUCAAACUUGAUUUCAGCCAAAUGUAAUUAAUCUCGGUCACUAGUGGAUCAAGCUGAUGAUCGCCAAUGGCCUGCACAACACAAAUAUCAUUGUACAUAUGGGUCUGUCGCUUAAUUUGGCCCAUUUCAGCUUUGGAGACAAAACAAAAUGUGGAUUUACUGCCACAUAAGAAACCUUCCUCAGAGACACAAGCUGUGUUGAGAAAUAACCACUGGCGCCUGGAAGGCUCACCAUGACCGAGCGUCCACACCGACUUAGUCGAGCAGACUACAACCAACGGUUACCAAGGGAGGCCCUCUCAGAGGGCUGAUUCAGGAUAGCGAGGCCAGUGACAUCACGCGACCGCGUGGGGCAGGUUAGGGGGCAUCGUUUUGGAGGCCAAUGCAGAAGAAAAUGAAGGCCAAUUGAACAGACGCAACAUAGUCCUCCGAGUACUCAAUCGGAUGACACAAGUAACAUCACUCAUUGCAUCAGUGAUGGGCAACCUAGACGAGUCAGUGGGCCACGUGAGCACCCCUCCUUCACCUCAAGCGGGCCACAAGCUUGACAUCGUUGAUUGUGCACUAAUCGUGACUCCAAACAUCACCUUAGACACAGACCAGGUCACCAAAAGCGGGAGGGGGGGGGGGCUCCACGGGCCGCAGGUGUCCCACCACUUCCUUACAUUAUGUGGACAGCCUCAUUUGGAAGUUUGAGAAUGUGCAAGGGAGGUGAAUUGGCUGGGUCAGUUUGGUUCAACUCACCUGGUCCAGAUGCUAGUAGGAAAUGGAAACGUGGCGAGCUUCGUGUACUCAUGGGUAGAACGGAAUUUAUGUCGUUAUUGUAUGAAAAAUCUAUAAUGUAAGCCAAAAUUGCGCCUAUCCGAUACUGGUUUGUUACUCUUUGGGUGGGCUUGAGUGCAUAUGCAUGAGUGGGUGGAUCGUCAACGUUUAUUGUGCCAUUUGAUAGCUCUUUGUGUCGGGACACGAUGUUGAUCGCAUAUUUGGGAAAUCUAGUGAAACAACAGUGGGAAGGAAAGGGGAAAAUUUUAAAGGUAAGAAAAUAUAUUAUGACUUUUUCAUUUUAGUUUUGUUAAUAAUUUUUUUAAACUGAAUCCCAAGAACAUGAAAUAUGUUAUGAUAGUGCACGAUUUAUGUGCAGGGAAAUUAUCUGCAAAUUCUUUUUUUAUAAUUACGAAUUUAUUCAAAAGCCCAGUUUGAUAUGUGGUGUAUUCGUGAGAUGUAUAUUUGUUGAAAAUAAACCAAAAUGUCAGCAAAUUACUAGUUAGUUUUGAAAGCAUCAUUUUCCAGCAGUUGACACAAGUCUAAUGUAAUUACACAAACGUUACAUUUAAAAUAGAUUUUGGGGAUCAUAAAAAAAAGUUUAAGUAUGAUUUACAUUCACAGCUUUAAGAUAUUGUAACGUUCAUUAUAAAAGUGUAAUUGUACAUUUUAAAUUCUGUGUUGGAGUUUUAAGGUACAUGUAACACCACAUGCAAAUAUAUUGUGAUUUGUGUUUGAAUUAUUUCUCCACUGCUUUUUUUACAAUUGUGACAAUUCACCUUAACCCUGAAUUGAGAUAAUUCAUCAGAUUACUGGUGGGGGAUUGGAUCUUUACACGCGUAUUAAUAAAUAUUGUAUUCUUUGGGUCUUUCGGUAAAGCCACGUAGAUAGAUCAAAUAAAAAAAAUAACAAUAUCAUGACGCUUCGAUCACAACACAAGCAAUCGUCAUCAGGUGAUAAAUAUCGCGGGAGAGCUGAUGAGAAUAUAUGGUGGGAGCGCUGCUAAGGUAAGGAGUGAUAAAGGGUUUGGGAUGGGUGUAGCCCAAGGGUCAGUGGGAGGGGCUAGAGAUGAAAUUUGCAUGUAAAUGUAAGAUCGAAAUCUUGACAAACGAAGCUGUGGGGGUGGUCAUUGUAUUGUGAGAGAUUAGCAUGUCAAUGUAAGAAAUGUGCUUGUAAAUGUAAGCUGAAUGCAAAGAUAACCUGAUUUCCAAGUUAAACCUCCUUUCCAAUAAGAAGCCAGAUUCAUGCAUUAAAAAUGUAGAUGGUGACAAGAUUGUCAUCAAUCAGAGCAACAGCCCAAUUUCUGACAGUCUAAAAUCGGUUCUCGCUAAAAGGUUGAAUUUCGGAGUCACCCCUAAACACAUCCCAGUUGAUGAUUUCAUUGCCCAGGUCGACGUCGCCCUAAAGCGUUUGGGACACAUUCCUGCAGACCUGGCAAGAUCGGAAAUCGCUGCAAUCCUCAAAAACGCUAAGACACCUAUUAGCAACAUCAGCAAGGAUGAGCGCAUUUGAGCUUUCUCAACUAAAAAGGAGAGAUGACAGAGUCAUCCUCUCAGCCCACAAGGGCAAUGCCACUGUCAUCAUGGACAAAACCACAUACAAUAACAAAGUUCAGGACCUACUUAAUGAUGUCAGCUAUACCAAAACCAAUAGAGAUCCUACCAACCGCCUGGUUUCUUUUGUAUGAACAAUCUAUGAGGGCUUUAUUGGGGUAUCUGAAUUAGCACUAAGAAUAAUAAAGAUGGUAAGCAUUGUUUCAGAAAUAAAAAUUUGUAAUAACAUAC